ACUCUGUGCUUGCUAAUCUUCCUUCACGUAUGAUUUUAUCCUCUUAAUGAUAACAAUGUUAUAUUCUUAAUAUAUUAUUUCUAUUUCCUACAGGAGAGGUCUUCUUUGCAAAAAUAUUGUGCUUAAAACAUGCUCGUUAACGAUCUUGGGGAUGUAAGAUUUUGGAGUUGGAAUGAAUGCGAGACAUCAUCUGUUUCAGCAGCUCUGGAGAGAGAUCGCUAUCUGAAUCAAUGGCUCCAAUGAGUUGUGCUUAGCUGGAGUCCAGAUUAUCCUCAGUAUCCUGGCGUUGUUUCCUGCCCAUCUCCUUUGCUUCUUGGCUUCAUAUGUUAACGUAUUUGGGAACUCCAUUUUUGCUGGCUACCCUGUGGUCAGGUUUUCCAAGCGGGCUGCCUCGUCAAUAGUGCGGUGUAGAUCUGGCCAAGGACCUUAUUCUCAGCUGGGAGCUGUUAAAUCUUCCUCUUGAAGGUAUUUUCACUCAAGUAGCUCUCUGCUGCCCUCCACUGGCACUCAGCCACAAGAGCUAGCUAGCCUUCUGCGUCGGUGCUAACUCAGUGCAUCCCAUCCCUGGCUUCAAAGGAGAUUAUCUCUAAAAGAUACAACUGGCCAAAUGGAAUACGUUUGUCCUUUCCUAUAGGGCAGAACUAUCAAUCACAAUGAAGCAAGUAUAAUCCCCUGGACUUCUCUUCUCUACCGGUCUGUUUGAAGUCAAUGUGGAUAAUCUCAAAAUAACAGUGCCUCUCUUACUCUUCCCUAAUUGUUCACUAUUACUUCAGAUGACUUCUGAAAUUCCUUGACAAUCAGUGUUAGGGAUGGCAUCGAGGUGGAUUGCUUCAACAGCUCAGUCUUCUCAUCAAGGAUCCAAGUUCUUUGAGCUUCUCCACUCUGCUGCCUACAACAUCAGCUUUACACACAGGUUGAUUUUCUUUAUGAUUGUGAGAAAGAGUGAAAGCAUGAGAAGAGGAGGGGCAGAGGUGGAGGGAGAGACAGAAUCUUAAGCAGACUCCAGGCCCAUUGUGGAGCCCCAUGGGGGCUUGAUCUCAGGACCAUGAAGUUGUGACCUGAGCCAAAAUCAAAAGUUGGAUGCUGAGCCACCCAGGUACACCCCCAUCUUUAUCAAAUUUUUUUUCCCAAAUGUUCUAUAGUAAAUAUCUAUAUAUGUACAACUUUAAUCAAUCAAAAGGUUGGGAAACUAAAAAUUAAGUCUUACCAUGACAUAAGCAUUUCUGAUGAUUACAACAUAACUUUAAUUUAUAAAUUGACCCAACUGGCAAAAUGGUAAAAUCUAGCCAGAGAUUUAGAACUUUCAGUAUUCUUUCUGUAGUUUCAGUGAGAAUAGGAAUAAAUCAAUGAAUGGGUGAAUCAGUAAAUGACCCAGAGAAAUCUCCUUUUGUGUGAUUAAUAAUUUCCAUAUUUACUACCUAUAAAUGCUAUUAAAAUUUCAUUUUUGAUGUGCUGCUAAAUCACUGGCCUCAAAACUCUGUUGGUCUAAUUUUAAAGGCUAAUAUAUAGGUUAUUUUGAGGGCAUUACUUGAAAUUAUAGUUGUCUCCUUGGAAAGAAAUAAUAUUCUUAGUGAGUUUUUCCAUAUAUUAUGUUAAGUAGUAUAACAUUUUGAAUAGAGAAAGAUUGACUUGUAAUUGCUAACUGGUGGCUCAUUGUUUUUAUUAUCUUUGUUCAUCUCACUAUAUCUCUUAUAGAUAUGUUUUUGUCUCAUCUGGAAUAGAAUUUACAAGGAUUCAUGCUAGAUGUUAUGUAGAGUUUAAAUAUAGUGAAUUUUGAAUGUCAGUUGUACAAAAUAUGAACCUCCUUUACAUUAUUAUUAAGGACAGGAUUCAAAUCUUUAUGUAGACUAUUACAGGAAUAUCAUACAAUUUUUAAGCAAAUAGUUGCAAUAUAAUAGGCAAUAUGUUUACUAUAAUGCUCUUCACCAAGUCAGAUAAAAAACAAAAGCUCUGUUUUUAUAUCAGAAUAUGAAAGGCCAUGAGAAAAGUGGUUGGAUUUAUUACUUACAAGUUAUCCACAUAGAACAUAUAUAUAGUAUCCUACCAAAACAAUUUCUUCUAAUUUAGUGGCUUGGCAUAGCUUAAAAUAGAAUUCACUAAAUAAUAUGUCUUCAAACUCAUCGAUCGUAGACAUUGUAGUAUGAAAAAUGUAAAGCUAACAGUAACUAAUGCUCUUCAAAAGUAUGGUAGCCUUUUCAAAUUGUUUGGAAUUAAUUUGUUUUGAGUAAACGGAAAUUAGUCUGUUAAAUGAAGCUUUUAAGACAGGGAUUACAAAGGGGUAAGAGACCAUCUCACCAGGAUAGCUUAAAACCCACACAUUUGUACGUGUCAGGAGAAGUACUGUCCUUUAAAAAUGAUCUUAUUCUUUCCAAUUGUCUGAGAUUGGUGCCUCCUGAUGUGAUCUGGAGAUCUGGCAAAGUAGAAACAUAUUUAGAUUCUUACUCAUUAGAAUACUGAACUCAUCCAUCAGCAGGAUUGACAAGGUCUUAGACAAAGCAUUUUGCCUGGCACACAACCUGUACUGAGAUUUUCCUGUGGCUAUAAUGUAGCACACCUGACAGAUGUUUGAGUCAUUUAACACAGCAGGCGGUACUCAUAAACACCACAGACUGGCAUUCAACAUGAUAGGGAUUAUUUUUCUUUUGUCUGCCUGAAGUUAUAUGGCCUAUAAUCAACAAAGGAUUUAGGCAUAACUAGCUAAAAUGUAGGGUGUGAUAUCAUUUAUAUGCGAUAUUUCUCAUGCUUAUAAAGCUUACAAAAUAUCCCGGAAGCUGAGAUACUUUUUGACACAGGUGAAAAACAUUUUACAUACGUUUCCCUUUUCAUGAUUAGAACUGGUUUAGGAAAGAAAGGCAUCAUGGGUAUUAUUCACAGAGUAAAGCUUCUGUAUCACUAUUGAUUUUCUUGAUACUUCCUUAAUGAUGUAAUGGGCUUUACUAAGCCCAUACUAAUUUUUAAAUUCAACAUGGUGGUGAUGAAGUAAACAGUAGCAAGGUCACUAGUUAAAAAUUCCCAUUAACAGUGUGUCUACAUCAGAACAAGAAAGGCAGAAAUAAAUAUAUACCAUCUGUAGUUGUAAAACUUUCAUGUCCUAAGGGAUAGAGAUAGAUGCUAUUAAUUUAAAUGUCAUGUUUGCAUUGAAUGAAGCACAGCGAUUUUAUUUUAUUUUAAUUUUUUUAGCACAGUGAUUUUAGAUUUGACUUUAUUAAAGUUCUUUUUUUAGGUUAAGUUUCUCACUUGGUAAGUGGCAAUUGGAGGACAUGCUAUUGAUAAAAAUUAUUUAGGUCCUUUGGGGAGCAGUAACAUGCAGGGGGGCAUGAUGCUUUCAAAAUAACAUUUUAUUGCAUUUACAAGUUAUUACAUAAUCAAAAUAAUCUUGUAUUCUACAACUGUAUAGGGACUUUAAAAAUAGGAAAAUUAAUAAUACCUUAAAGGAACAAAUAAAUACCACAAUUAAACCAUGGUAACACUCUGGCAUAUAUAAUACCUACUUUAGAAAUUGUUUUUGUAAGCAUGCAUUUGUUGGAAAAAGUUUCCGGUUUUGUUUUGCGUAGGUCAUGGCUUUUUUUCAGUUUGCUUUAGGGUUCAGUGAUUUGCUGGAUACAGCUGCAUGUGCAGAUGCAGAAACAGUUUCAUCCCAGGAAAUAACCAUAGUUUAGCAUUUAGGUGCCAAGGUAAGUCUGUAGAAGUUAAUGAAAACAUUCUUUAAGGCUAUGCCCAACCACGAGGACUCACUGGAAUUCUGAAAAACCCAUACGUGUCAGAAAGGUUGAGAUUAGUUUAUCUUUCCAAUGUUUUUUUUACUCCUGUCGCUAGCUACAGUAUACUAACUGCUUUCCUAAUACUCAUUCUUUAACUCCUACAUUUCCAGGCUGAUGACACAUACUGACAUUGGAUUUUUGGCCCAUUGGUAGUGAUAUUUUGAGCAAGGUUUUCUUAGCUAGCUUCAGGAUUAGGUAUUCUGUCCUGCUAGCUAUAUUGGGAAGGAGCUUCUUAAGUCUCAUGUGACCUAUAUAUACAUAUCUGCUUUUGUUUUUUCUUUCUAACAAACUCAUUCAGAAGGGGAAAAUCAGAGAUUUGAAAUGAUAUAAUUGGGACCUGCCCUGUGGGUACUGAAUCCAUAUUAAUCCCCUCAACUGGAAAGAUGUUUCUUCACACCUAAGCCCAGUUUCCAUUUCCUUUAGGGAAGCCUUCCUGACCUUUCUGACUAGCUUGAGUGCUUUAUAAGGUACUUGCCAAACAUCAUGUAACAGCAUUACUUUUUAAUGAGUAUCACCACUGUAGUUUCAUAUUUUUGAUAACUUGAUUAGUAUCUGUUUCUUCCACUAAACUCCAAGCUCUGUAACUAUAGGGAUUGUGUCUGUUUUUUUUUCUUACUUGUAUCCUUGGUGCCCAACAUGUCGUGGGGACUCAGGAGGUAGUUGUUGAACAAAUGCAUUUCAUAAAGCACUAAUUAUAUUAUUUAUAUAUUUCUAAUGUUAAAUUACUAUUUUGACACCUUCUCAAAACAUAAACGACUCUUAGGACAUUUCGCUUUGUGUACAUUGUGUGAUUUUGGCACACCAAUAUAUAACAUCCUUUUUCCCUCCGUGCUGUAGAACCAACAGAGAGAUGUAUCCAAAAGUCAGACAUGGGUUGGAAGACAUGGCUUAAAUGUGUGGCCAAAGUGGUGUGACUGAUUUCUCACCAUUACUUAUUUCAAGCUUACUCGCUAGCCAUUGUCAGAUCCCUACUUGGCAGCAAAGUGAAGUAAAAAAAGCACUUUUGAUCAGUGGACACUGGAGAAGUAGGAAAUACAUCAAUGGGGGAAAAUGCUGGGAUAGGGUAUAGAGAAGAUUCAAGAGCUCUUAAAGACAGGGAGUAAAUGGGGUGUAAUUAUAAUUUAUACUAAUAACUAAUACUUAAAUAUUAGUAAGUAAUAACUAACACGAAUAACUAAUACUUAAACUUAAUAUCAGUAUCUCUAAACUUAAAACUACUUUAAAUACUUAAAACUAUUGCAAGCACAAGCAUAUGACAAGAAAAGAAGAAAGAACGUUGCCUUUUGCGUGAGUUUUUCUCUCAGUCAUGACAUACAAAGACAAUUAGUAGGUAUUACCCCCAUUGUUGAAAUUCUUCAGAAAAAACAUAGGAUAUUACAUAUAAUAUCUUUAACAAUAAGCCCCACUCUAUGUGUCAUUUGUGCUUCAUUAACUAUUAACUGUUGACAGUAGUGUGUAUAUGUAAUUUAUAAUUGCAUACUUUUUCAUGGCGUACACAAUAAAAAGCUACUAAUACUUGCCAGUCAUUUAGGCUUCAAUUUGGACAUUAUAUUAUCUAGAGAAUAUGUGUAAAGUCCACUCCUGGGUUCCUUUUCCUUUGGUCUCUUGGAAGCUUGCACUGUCUAUUGAAAUAGUUUUGCAGGACCUGCUUGUAUUGUCUGUUUGCAGCUAUAUCUCUCUCAAGACUGUGGGGGCAGGAACAGGGUCUUACUCAUAUGAGAAUUCGCAUGGUAAAAUACUUUGGUACAUAGAAUGUACUUGAGGAGAUAGAUGGAUAAAUACUCAUCAAAAAGCUGCCAGAUACUGAGCAGGUAUAAUAGAAUUGGGUUACAGCAAACCUUGGCAUAGCUGCCCACUUUGAAACCCUACAACUAUGGUAGGUGCUGUCCUCCGGUCUCUCUGGUGUCCUAGCAUCCCUUUUUUGGGACUGCCUACCCAGUGGACCCAAUAUUGAGUACUCUUGUAGUCAUUCUGCCUGUGGCUCCAGGAAGAUAGCAAAAAUGAAGAAGCAUCUCCCUCACUCACUCUCAGUAAUGACUCUAUGUCCAGCUCUUGUUGUCUCGUUCUAUUGCAGUUCUUCCUGUUCUUAGGCCACAAAAUGGACAGCUAAUGGCUAAGGGAGGGAGAUCAGGCAUAGGAAGUGUUAGAGGGAGAAAGGGGUCUCAAAGCCUCUCUAACGAGGCACUCUUUGCCUCUUUGAACUACAACAGUCACGUACGGAGUAGCAAUAAUAGUCUUAAGCAGCUUCCUGUGCUGACAGCAAAGGAUCCCAUUAGGACUUGGCACUAGAGAGAAGGAUGCCGAAGGCAAAGUCACGGAGGAAGCUGCUCCAGGAAUGCAGGUCAGGCUAGAGGUGACCUGCAACAAGGUAGAGACCAUGAAAUUGUGGGGAAGUAGGUGAAUUUGAGAACUAGGGGAGAGAGAGAAAGUAAGGAUCUGAGUCCUGGAUGAACAGCCCAUGUUUCUAGACAGCUGCCUGUGUGCUCACAGCAUUCAUUAAGAGAAGGGAUCACUAAGGAAAGAGGAACAUUUUGGGGAUAAAAAAAGCCGAGUAUAGGGUAACAAUUAGUUACUUUAAUGGUUCCACUCUGAAUUCUAGUCUCAACACACAGUCAAGCAAUCAUUGUUACCCAGUAACCUUUUUGUAUUUUCUUGGUGAGGCAUAGACCACACUCUCCUUGGUGAUACUACCAAAUAGUUACUGCUUCUCCUCAAACCCAGCUCUGGAAACUCCUCCCUCCUGCUCCCUCCCCCCUCCCCAGGUAAGCUUCCUCUUCUUCUCAGGAAAAACAGAAGUAAUCUGGGAAGAGUCCUGUCCACCCACUUCUAAUCAUCCCCCAGGCCCUUAGGACCCCGAUUUCCUCUCUAGGCUCUCACCUUUAAUUUUGUCCUCAACAUUGAAACCAGAGUCACCUUUGAAAACUGCACAUCAAAUAUUGUCUCAUCUUUGCUUACUGCCUCCCAGUGGCCACCGAGUCAGACUUCACGUGUAGCUCUCUCUCUCUCUCUCACUUAUCUAGCAUUGUCUCUUGCCACAUGUCCCUGUACUUUUCACACUGACUCAAUACUUCAAAUGCACUACAUUUCUUAGUCUUCAGAUAUUUGCCUCUGCAUCCCAUCUGAUGUGUAUUGUGAUUUGCUUUUUAUUUGUAUCAUUAUUGCUUAAUUUUGAGUCUUAAAGUUUUUAUUUAAAUGCCAUUUUCUCCUGGAAACUUCCCUGACUGCCACCGUUCCCUCAAAUAUGAAUUAAAUUCUUCUCUUGUGCACCCUUCCCCCAACCCCAUAUCUGGUAUUUCCCUUAUGGUAUUACAUGUCAUAGAACUUCAUAUUUUCUAUUGAUCUUUCAGAAUCCUAAAUUACAAUGUAUCAAGGCAAGUCCUAUUUCUGUAGAGCUCAAUAGAGCUCCUAUUACAUACUAGAUGUUCUAUUAAUAGUUGGUAAUGAGUACUGAAUGAUUUAUAUGAUAUUAUUCUAUAAACUGGAGCAAUUUUGAAUGGGUAGGAUACCUAACCUAAAUUAAAUAAAGUGUUUGACUUGUAUCAUGUAAAUGUAAUUAUUCUUAGUGUAAGUGGCAAUUAUUAUUAGUAUUUUUUUUUUGGUAACAGCUUUAUUGAGGUUCAAUCCACUUACUAUAUAAUUCACACGUGUAAAAUUACACAAUUCAGUGGUUUGUAAGGUAUUCAGAUUUGUGCCUCAGUUACCAUGAUCAACUUUGGAACAUUUUCAAUAAAUGGCAAAUCUUGAUCAUUGAUGAUUUGGUACAUUAGAAUCUUGUUUUUGCCCAUCUGGAGUGUUUUGAUAAUUAUUUAAAAUAGUUUGUUAAUGUGGAUCUCAAACGGCAUCUUCAGAUUACAGUGUCAUCAUCUUUUCCUAACCUGUCAAACUAUACUGAGAUUUGAGAAAGCCUUAAUUUCUAAUAUUUUGGUUAAUGCAAAUUCAAAGUCAUCAAAUUAUAUUUACCUACGAAUAUUACAAUGUUCUAAAAGUAGACCCUUUUCUCUCUAGCUGUAAUGAGUCAUUUACCUUUUCUCAUCCAGGAAGCAUGGUUCUCAUUGUCAAGGUUACUGUCAUUUGCAUAUAACUGAGUAUCACUCCUAUUCUGCUUAGGUUACUUUCAAUUCUCUCUUUAAAUUUUUGUUGUUGUUGUUGUUUGGUUUUUAUUUUUUUAAACUUAGAGACAGAGAGAGUGCACUAGAGGGGUAGAGGGAGAGAGGGAGAAUACCAAGCUGGCUCCAUGCUUAGCUUGGAGCCCAACAUGGGACUCAAUCCCACGAUCCUGGGAUCAUGACCUGAGCUGAAAUCAAAAGUUGGAUGCUCAACCUAAUGAGCUGCCCACACAACCCUCUGCUGGUCCCUUUAAAAACCAUUGUACAUGGUCAGAUUAAAAACCAUUGUACAUGGUAAGAUUAACCUUCUUAACAUAUUCACUAUAUUUCUUUCAUUACUUACGGAACUGUAUU